rnacentral:lncRNA from 1 species
UAGGAGAAUAAGAGAUUAAAGAUUAGGGUUUUAGAUUCAAGAACAAGUUUAUCAUUCAUGAAGUGGAGAGGGGAAAUCCCCCUUACUCCCUUAGGGUUUACAAAUCGCCCAAUACAAGCUUAUAUAUGAGCCUUUACAUUUCUAAUCUCAUAACCUAAAUCUAAUGGCUUAUAAUAGACUUGAAGAAUGGAUGGAUCAGAUGGAGAGUGGAGCUGGUCGUUGUCUCUCAUUGGCUGUGUUCUUGCUGCUGUAUGAUUGGCUUAUUUGAAUCUGGUCAAGGUGGAGACUGGCGCCUGAUUGGCUGCUGUGAGGCUCCCUUGAAUCUUCCCAUUUAUCAGGCCAGAUACAUGGUCUCCCUUUACUUCUUUUCACAGCCAAAAGCCAGCCUGUUCCAGCCUGUCUUUGGCGCCAGCUCCCUUUCUUAUCCACACAGCAUCUUCUUGAUUCUUCUUUGAUUCCAUCAAAAGCCAGCCUGUUCAAGCCUGUCUUUGGCGCCAGCUCCCUUUCUUAUCCACACAGCAUCUUCUUGAUUCUUCUUUGAUUCCAUACGGACCAGACCAUGAUUCUAAGUCCCUAACCUUGCACAAAGCCUUCAUGACUCAUUCUGACCAUGCCCGGACUUGUGCCUUGCGCCCUAUUCUUGCACCAACUUCAUAUCUUCUUAAAUGUUCAAGUUAUGCAUUAUUGGGUCGACCUGGUCCGUACGGUCCGUACACGUCCGUACCAAAUCCGUACGGCCUCGCUCUAAGUAUUCAAGUUAUGCAUUCUUGGGUCGACCUGGUCCGUACGGAUCUGUACGGUCCGUACACGUCCAUACCAAAUCCGUACGGCCUCGCUCUAAGUUUGCACACUUGACCAAACUCCUCCAUACUUCUCUUUUGACUCCAUUUCUUUUCUUCAAGUUAACACUCCCCCUCAAACUUGACUUUAGGUGAUCCUAAGUCAAGCUUAGAACCUUGAAGAACUUCCUCAUUAAAAACCUCACCAAGGAAAACCCUUUGGGACAAAACCUUGAUGAGGAAAAAAGAGUAAAGCCUCCAAGGCCUAGGGAUUGGCCAGUGAGCUCUCGUGCCUUAGAACCAGUGUGGUUGGACACAGGAAGCUCUGGAUCACGGCCUAAACAAGUGUAGCAACACUUCAAGGCUUGCGCACACUUCACCACACCUUCUUGGACUCUUCUAUAGAACCGGUUUAGUGUCUCCCCCUUUCACCGGACUUCAUGCCAUCUUGAAAGGCUAGGAGCGACCUGAUCCUCUCUGUUGAGUCUCCAAGUAAGGUACCUGAUACAUUAUUCCACAAGUGUAUCAGUACUUAUCAAAGAACAUAACUCAAUCAAUUCAUGCUUAUUGACCGUCUUAGUAAGACUAGUAUUCCUUAUAUAUUACUAGAUAUGUUGCCGUCUAGUAAAACUAGUAUUCCUAACGGAUUCAAAUGAUGCUUAACAACUCUUCUUUAGUAAAACUAGUAUUCCUGAUAGAUUACUAGAUAUGUUGACAAUGAUGAAUUGAAUUGAGUUAAGGGAAACUUCCCUUUUUCUUUGGUGAGGAGUGACUGGACCGGCCUGAGUCUUCCCUUUUCUCAUGGCUUCUUGCCAUCUCCAUCAGGUAAGACAUGCCUAGCUCCUUUUGCUUUGGUGAGGAACACCACUUGAACCCCUCACUUGCUGAGCUUAUCAGCUCCUUCUCUUAUCAUGCAAGCUCACCAACACUCCCCCUCAAGCUUGAGACCGAGUAUAGGGAAGAUCCAAGCUUGAAGGUGAGCGCAUACUAAGCUCCAUGAUCACUCUUGUGGGAACACCUCCAUCUUCUUCAGACUUGAUGCUUACAGCCCCACUUAACCACCAUUGCACUGAGGAGAUAGCUCAGCUCACUCUCCACGCAUUGCACUGAGGAGAUACCUUAGCUCACUCUCCAAGCAUCUCACACCAGAAGCUUAUUGAGUAGCUUUCUUCUUCCCUCUACUUCGGCUGGAUCACUCCAUGAUCAGCUUGCAAUGGUCUUGAGUAGCUAUGGGCUGAUUCAAAGCUUCCCAACUGAAGGUAUAUGUUCUAACUCCAUAUAGUAGCUGAUCCAUAGCUUCCCAACUAGAAGGUCUUGUUCCAACUGAAGGUAACUACUCUAACUCUAUAUAGUAGCUGAUCCAUAGCUUCCCAACCAGAAGGUAACUGUUCUAGCCCCACUUAAUCACCAUUGUCACAACAUCCUCUCUACCCUCUUUGGAGCAGGCUGUGGACUUCCCACAGAAUGUUGGCAAUAGGCUUCAUUUCUCCAUUGUCACAACAUCCUCUCUACCCUCUUUGGAGCAGGCUGUGGACUUCCCACAGAAUGUUGGCAAUAGGCUUCAUUUCUCCAUUGUCACAACAUCCUCUCUACCCUCUUUGGAGCAGGCUGUGGACUUCCCACAGAAUGUUGGCAAUAGGCUUCAUUUCUCCAUUGUCACAACAUCCUCUCUACCCUCUUUGGAGCAGGCUGUGGACUUCCCACAGAAUGUUGGCAACAUGCUUCAUCUUAUCAUUCCCUUGUAAUGAUAAGGAGGAAACAUGUCUUGAACUUUGGCUCUUCAGGUUGCUCAUUUGAAUCCCCACCGCAAGCUUGAGACCGAGUAUAGGGGAGAUCCAAGCUUGAACUGAGCCUCAAUGAACUUCAAGACCAGGAGCACAUCACCCUAACAGCUGCGCUUAAAUCACUGAUCCACCCUUUUGCCUUCAGCUUCAUGUACCCUCAGAUCACCGGCCUUCCUCAUGGCUUAGGUGGUGACCUUCUUCUUCUUGUGUGUCUUGAACCAGGAGCUCAACAACCUCGUGGCCUGCGCUUCUUAAACCGGCUUCUACACACAAGAACCUUCCCAUUGCUCCACACAAUGGUCAAGUCUUCCGCUUGUAUGUCUUGAACCAGGAGCUCAACAACCUCGUGGCCUGCGCUUCUUAAACCGGCUUCUACACACAAGAACCUUCCCAUUGCUCCACACAAUGGUCAAGUCUUCCGCUUGUAUGUCUUGAACCAGGAGCUCAACAACCUCGUGGCCUGCGCUUCUUAAACCGGCUUCUACACAGAAGUAUCUUCCCAUUGCUCCACACAAUGGAUCAAGUCUUCCUCUUGUCUUGGAUAGGUGGUGAGCCAAGAGCACUUCUUGUGAACCUGAAACACCACUCAAACUCCAGCAAAGAUAAGAGUAUUGGGAUCAAUCCUUGAUUAAUCAUCAAGUUUGAUUCCCAAUCUCACAAGCAUUGCAACAGGUUAAACAAGUUAUUUUCAAGUUCUAUCUUUGCAAGCAACCUCUCUAAGCACAAGCACUUUCUUUUCCAGAUUUAUGCAAGCUACUUAGGCAUUUUUAAAGCUUCUUUACUCAGCAUUUAGACAUGAAUCUAAUGCUUCAAUGUAAGACAACCACAAGACUAUAUGCAACAGCUUUCAAUUCGGUUUCAAUCCAUUUAUGCAAGCAGAUUCAAUCAAUCACAACAAGCAUCAUUAUGAACCGGAGCUAAGCAUAUUAACAUAUCUAGUAAUCCUAGUAAUACUUAUAAGUUACUAGACAUUUUUAAAUGCGCUUACUGCUGCUAGUAAGCCUAGUAUAACUAGUAAGAUUUUCGGAUUACUAGGAAGCCAAGCUCUUUAAGUAUCCUGGGACAGAUUCUAAAUUCAUUUUAUUUCAUUUAGCAAUCUUUUAAACAAUCCUCAGGUUUUCAAUCACAUCACAACAUCUCAACCAGUCAACUACACAAGCUCAUUAUCAAGAUGGUUUAUAGAAUCGCUUACAACAAGGAACCAGGUUGAUUCCUUUUGCAUUUUGUGAAACCGGCCAUGACUUUUGUUGGAUCUGAGAGUCUGGAUCAUCACCCACCUUCUUCUCCUUCAGUUCAUGGCCACCAUCUUGUACCAUUAACUCAAAAGACCCCUCCUUUCUUCAGAACAUCUAGGCGCCAAACUCUUGACACCAUACUCUUGUAGCCGGAUGUGAAAGUUCUCUUGGACAAGGAGCUUUGGAGUCAGGUUAGGUAGGCCUCUCCAUACACCUUUGCCUCCAAGGAUAAUCUCCAUCUGAGCAGGUAGAGAACAGGAUGAGGAACCAAGGGAAAUCGCCAAGCUUCAGCCUUCCUUUUCACAAGGGACUGAACCGGAUGGGAAAGCCUCAAUGGUUUGGUUUUGAGGAGAAGCGUGAGCUGUGGACUUGCGGAAGCUUCAGCUCAGGUUCUAAUGAACCUGGCUCUGAUACCAUAUGAGAUUUGUAGAGUUCUCUUCUCUGGUUGUAUGUGUGUGUGUAUAAACUCCAAUGGAGAAAGAUGAGAGCUUUCUCUAGGUGAUUUAGAAAGAGAGAUUGAUAAGAGUGUUUAUGAGAGAAUAAGAGACUUAGGAACAGAGAUUAAGAGAUUGAGAGAUUAAGAGAAUAAGAGAUUAAAGAUUAGGGUUUUAGAUUCAUGAACAAGUUUAUCAUUCAUGAAGUGGAGAGGGGAAAUCCCCCUUACUCCCUUAGGGUUUACAAAUCGCCCAAUACAAGCUUAUAUAUGAGCCUUUACAUUUCUAAUCUCAUAACCUAAAUCUAAUGGCUUAUAAUAGACUUGAAGAAUGGAUGGAUCAGAUGGAGAGUGGAGCUGGUCGUUGUCUCUCAUUGGCUGUGUUCUUGCUGCUGUAUGAUUGGCUUAUUUGAAUCUGGUCAAGGUGGAGACUGGCGCCUGAUUGGCUGCUGUGAGGCUCCCUUGAAUCUUCCCAUUUAUCAGGCCAGAUACAUGGUCUCCCUUUACUUCUUUUCACAGCCAAAAGCCAGCCUGUUCCAGCCUGUCUUUGGCGCCAGCUCCCUUUCUUAUCCACACAGCAUCUUCUUGAUUCUUCUUUGAUUCCAUACGGACCAGACCAUGAUUCUAAGUCCCUAACCUUGCACAAAGCCUUCAUGACUCAUUCUGACCAUGCCCGGACUUGUGCCUUGCGCCCUAUUCUUGCACCAACUUCAUAUCUUCUUAAAUGUUCAAGUUAUGCAUUAUUGGGUCGACCUGGU